CCUACGGGUGGCAGCAGUGAGGAAUAUUGGUCAAUGGACGAGAGUCUGAACCAGCCAAGUAGCGUGAAGGAUGACUGCCCUAUGGGUUGUAAACUUCUUUUAUAAAGGAAUAAAACGAGGCACGUGUGCCUUUUUGCAUGUACUUUAUGAAUAAGGAUCGGCUAACUCCGUGCCAGCAGCCGCGGUAAUACGGAGGAUCCGAGCGUUAUCCGGAUUUAUUGUGUUUAAGGGGUGCGUAUGCGGGAAUUUAAGCCUGGGGUAAAAUGUCGGGGCUCAACGCCGAACUGCAGUUGGAACUGGGUGCCUUGAGUGUGCGAGAGGGAUGCGGAAUGCGUGGUGUAGCGGUGAAAUGCAUAGAUAUCACGCAGAACCCCGAUUGCGAAGGCAGCAUACCGGCGCCCCACUGACGCUGAGGAACGAAAGUGCGGGUAUCGAACAGGAUUAGAUACCCUUGUAGUC
rnacentral:rRNA from 1 species